rnacentral:rRNA from 1 species
UGGGGAAUAUUGGACAAUGGGCGCAAGCCUGAUCCAGCCAUGCCGCGUGAGUGAAGAAGGCCUUCGGGUUUGUAAAGCUCUUUUGUCCGGAAAGAAAUCCUGUCGGUUAAUACCCGGCGGGGAAUGACGGUACCGGAAGAAUAAGCACCGGCUAACUUCGUGCCAGCAGCCGCGGUAAUACGAAGGGUGCAAGCGUUACUCGGAAUUACUGGGCGUAAAGCGUGCGUAGGUGGUUCGUUAAGUCUGAUGUGAAAGCCCUGGGCUCAACCUGGGAACUGCAUUGGAUACUGGCGAUCUGGAGUGCGGUAGAGGGGUGCGGAAUUCCCGGUGUAGCAGUGAAAAUGCGUAGAUAUCGGGAGGAACAUCCGUGGCGAAGGCGGCACCCUGGACCAGCACUGACACUGAGGCACGAAAGCGUGGGGGAGCAAAACAGGAUUAGAUACCCUGGUAG